UGCAACCAAAGUGGGUGGUUUUUCUGUGACUGAGAUAAGUGAAGAUUAUUUGAUCAAAGUCAUUUGGUGCUCUAAUUUGGAAGAAUACCUAAAGAAUUUCUUUCAUUUUGUUUUCUUUUUCCCUAACAGUAACUUCCACAGGACAGAGUUUUGAGGGUGGGAGAGAAAACUAAGUAAUGUUACAGCUAUAAUUAAAUGGGUUAUCCAAUAUCUCCUCUCUGGCCAAAGCCUGGGAAAACUGAAUUUCUGAACUAGAGGCAAUACUGCUCGAAGGUGAUGCAGAUGCAUACUGUGUCAGCACAGAAAGACGAGGUGAGAUGCAGGAUGCACAGAAGCAGGAGGAUUUGAGUUGUCUGUGCAGUAUUAGGAGGCUGCUGAGCCUCUUUUGCCCAUCAGCAAUAAUGGAAUUUGGUUCCACACUGAAGAUAAUUGCCUCAAGUCAUUCUGCAGCCACAGGGAAGGUGCUGUAACUAAAGGGCUACCAGCUGCUUUGGGGUCAGCUCCCUCACAUUUCAGUCUGUAACUGGAGAAGAUGAAUCCCCUCUGCUGUGUGAGAGGUGAGGAAAUGGGAGAAAGAGUUGGCCUCUGGGAAGUAUUUGAAGAAUCAAAGGCCUUCUCAUUCUAACUUUACAGAAACAGAAUUUACAUUUUGUGGUUCUUUACAUUACCAAAAUAGCCUUCCUAUAAUGAUGAAGCCUGCUUGGACACAUACAAUAGCCAAA
rnacentral:lncRNA from 1 species